UAUGGGAUGUAAAAGUAAGAUGCUAAGCAUA
rnacentral:piRNA from 1 species